AUGAAAGUUUAAUUCCAUAACAAUCCUUUUGUAAGCCCAUUUAUUUUCUCAAACCUUCCCAACCUUCAAUUGUGCCACGCGUCACUAGAGUUGUCGAUGGGGAAAACUUUGUUGAAGUUUGCAAGUCAAAAGGCAAGUCGAUUCUAUCGCUACAAAAAUUUUUAGAGUUUGCAUUUUUAUUCUAAAAUCCAUUUUACUUCACAUAUUUCUUUAGUUGUUCAGUUAUAUUGGCAAGCAAUUGCUUUUGACUUUCAGGUGCGAUUUAUUACUAUAUCGAGAAUGGCUUGAUUGGCGAAGGUGGAUUUGGUGGAGUAUUCAAGGGUGAUGCCAUAAAAAGAACUAGAAAAACAUCGAUAAUUCUCACACAAUGUCUCUGCUUCGAAAAACAAGCAUUUUUCUUGGCAUUAUUGGCCAUAUUGCCAUGCUUCUGAGAUGAAUUAAGAUUCCCAAAUCAUACUAGGUUGCCAGCCCUUACGUUGAUUUUUCAGAAAAACCAUCCUGUUUUUCAUUUACCAAGAGAUCGAUCUUUCAAUUUUUACAUUUGAGACAAAGGGAUUCAGAUUAGAACAGAAUUUUGCAACAUUGCAUGGGGAAAGACAUGAGGAGAUUCAAUAAAUAAAUGAGAGACCAUGCCCAUUGUUCUUUAUGGAUGACUCUGUCAUGGUAUCAAAAGUCAAAAACUGUUCAUCACCUGGACUAUUGGCAGCUGGAUGACUUAAAGAGAUAAGUAAAAUGUAAUGUGGUUAUGUUACUCGGAACUCUCAUGAUUAAAAACAUAUAUAUUAUGUUACACUAGUAAAAUAUUAAAAACAAACUUUUCCAAGCUUUCGGACGAACGCGUCCAUCAUCAGGGAAUAACUGUUGUAAACAAAUUCUAGCCUUAAAUACGGUCUACAAAUGUGCAUACAUUAAUAAUUAUACAAUAAUAAUUAAGCCUAAGGUUAAAACCUAUUAUAAGAGGAAGGGUACGAAAAGCCCAAUUAUAUAACACAGUACUCUCUGUUUAAAGAAUGACAAUAAUUCAUAGUUCUUACUUCUUUAAAAUCGGCUUAUAAACGUCAGGAAGUAUCCUACCAUUAUCUCUGUUCGAAAUACCGCUACCCGAUUGCUCAAUCAUACAUGCUUCUUUCCAUUUACGUUGCGCCCAUCUGCUCUCUUUACAUAAUAAUUUUGAAUCGUUCCAUGCUAUACCAUGUUCACAAUCAUACCCAUGCUUAGCCAAAGCUGACUUUUCAAUCUUCCCCAAACGGACUGCUGCCUUGUGUUCCUUCUCUCGCGUUCCAAAAGCUCGUCCUGUUUCACCAAUGUAUUCUACA